rnacentral:misc_RNA from 1 species
AUUUUUUUUCUCUCUUUUUCCUCCAGUUAGGAUGUCCUGAUUCUGCUUCUUAACUUUAGGAUGGGGAUUCAUUGAGUAACUUCAUAUAUGGAAUUGUGAUGAAGGAGGGCAUUGUCAUCAAUCAACUUCUUCUACGAGUCUUACUUCUCUUCACAUUCCUUUUGUAAGUUAAAUCAACAGCCUGCCUUAAUUAUUUGGCACUUACCAGCUUAUCAGCAAGUAUUCUCUCUUGAUUAGAAAACUUAAGACCAUGAUUCCUACCAAGUUUUAUAAUUUCUUGAUUCUCUAGUUUUGAAUGGAGUUGCCACUAUGCAGAAGUCCCAUAAUCCCUUGUAGUUUUAUCUUCUACCAGAACCUAGUAAGUUCCUCAGUUAAUAUAAUGAUACCAGAACCUCACCAUAUUCAUAUUUUUAGCCGAAGCAUGAUUUGGUGUUCGCAAAACGAAAUGCAGUGCCUGUUACAAUCUACCCUCCUAUACUAACUCACAUAACUAACAUGGAAAACCAACUAAGUUUAAAUUGAGUUAAGAUACUGCUAUAUAAAC